GUUGGGACUACGGACGGUCCAGAAUCAAAUCUUAGCCCUCUUCCUACAGGACAAGAUUCCACAGCCACCACGGUUAUGGACCAGAAGGCAGGGACUACGGUCGAUCCAGAACAGAAUUUAAACCUUCCUCCUACAGGACAAGGGACAAGACGAAUUCGGAGGAAGAAAGUUGGAACUAAACAGAAAGAUUGCCCCCACAACAACUGGGAGGUGCACCCAUACAAGGGCAUAAUCCGGACAAGGCAGAGAAAGGUA